UACAGAGGUCUCAAGCGUUGUUCGGAUUCAUUGGGCGUAAAGGGUGCGUAGGUGGCGGGGUAAGUCAGGUGUGAAAUCUCGGAGCUCAACUCCGAAACUGCACUUGAUACUGCCUUGCUCGAGUACUGGAGAGGAGAUUGGAAUUUACGGUGUAGCAGUGAAAUGCGUAGAUAUCGUAAGGAAGACCAGUGGCGAAGGCGAAUCUCUGGACAGUUCCUGACGCUGAGGCACGAAGGCCAGGGGAGCAAACGGG
rnacentral:rRNA from 1 species